UUGGGCUUUUGAUAUUGUCAUUCGAUUAGGGACUUUUCUUUUUGAAAUUUCCUAGUUCAGUAUUUUUGUGAUUUUACUUUUUGUAUAUUUGUCUUUAAAAUGGACCCUAGUUCUUCAGUUAAUUUUAGCAGUUAUACAUUGACCACUGACCUUUGACCUUAGGAAAAUAUUUUUGGAUGUGUUUCCUUCUUUCAAUAAAGAA
rnacentral:lncRNA from 1 species